AGUUGGGAAAUCAAAUUAAAUUAAGUAUCCAUUGGGGGCUUGCCACGUGGAAGCCCCUUUCUCACCCAAAUUAGGGUUUCAGAAUUGGGAUUUUGAAGGCUUACUUCUACCUCCUUUGCCUGCGUAGCGAACUGCGCUGCUGCCAAUUGCCAUGGAGAUCUCUAUGCGCAAGAGAAAAAUUUCUCCUGUGGUUGCGUUUUGAUUUUUGCAUGUGCUUCACGAUUCUAAUUAUCUCUCGCGAUGAUGGUGGAAAACGAAGGGAAUCACGCUCCUGAGUUUCGCCCCUGAGUCUCGAUCGUGCUUGCGCGACUAGGGUUCACUGAUUUGGGAUUUUUUCUGCGUUUUAGGGUUCCUCUGCCGGUUCUGGUUUUUCUGUGUUUCAGGUUGCGAAGACAGUGGAGAUCGAAUCACGAUUGGUGGUGGCCUAGCGAGUAGCUCGCGAAGAGGCGCGGGUGUGUUUGGGUGGUCUCUGCAGCGACAUUGACGAGGUGGUCAGAUUUUGUCUUGCAGUAGUGAAAAUGUUGGGCGAACUCGCGAUCGGGUUCCUGCAAUUUACAAUUCUGUCUACGAUGACUGUUAUGGAAGCGUGAUUUGGUACCGGAGAAGAUGAAGGAUGACAUUCCAGGAUCAAUGUUUGGUGCUGACAGUGCUUUUGGACCUUUCCAUGUGUUCUAUAAAAUAAGAUGACCACUUUGCCCUUAUUUAAAUUUUUUUUCCUUCUACAAAAUAUUACUAUAGAAACUUAUUCGUUGGUUGUACUUUGUGUUCUCAUCAACUACUGUACAGAAGUUUAAAGCCGUACA